AUCUGCUUUAUGCUCCUGCAGUCUUUUAUUCAGGCAUCUUGUAGUGCUUCCUACAUAAUAUUGCCUACAGUUCUCAUCAUUAUUAUAUACCAGCGUGGAAUGAACACCAGGCCUUCUAUCAGGCAGGAUCAGGUCCUUUUCAUUGUUGAGCAAUGCAAAAAUCAUGAGACCUCUUUUUCUGGCCAUCUUACAGUUCCCAUCUUUAAUGCCUCUAUUCAAGACCUUAUCAGUAGUGUUAUAAUAUGUAAUCUGACACAUGGGCCAGCUCCUGAAUAUAUGUAUAUUAUAUUUUAAUAAAUGUUAUAUUGAAAACUUAUUUUUGUUCUUGUUCCUAUUUUGUUAUUUGAAAUAACA
rnacentral:lncRNA from 1 species